GGAAUUUUCCACAAUGGGCGAAAGCCUGAUGGAGCAACGCCGCGUGCAGGAUGAAUGUCUUCGGAUUGUAAACUGCUUUUAUAUGUGACGAUUAUGACGGUAGCAUAUGAAUAAGGAUCGGCUAACUCCGUGCCAGCAGCCGCGGUCAUACGGAGGAUCCAAGCGUUAUCCGGAAUUACUGGGCGUAAAGAGUUGCGUAGGUGGCAUUGUAAGUAAAUAGUGAAAGCGUUCGGCUCAACCGGAUAAACAUUAUUUAAACUGCAAAGCUAGAGGAUGAGAGAGGUCACUGGAAUUCCCUGUGUAGGAGUGAAAUCCGUAGAUAUAGGGAGGAACACCGAUGGCGUAGGCAGGUGACUGGCUCAUUCCUGACACUAAGGCACGAAAGCGUGGGUAGCAAACGGGAUUAGAUACCCCGGUAGUCCACGCCGUAAACGAUGGAUGCUAGCUGUUAGAGGUAUCGACCCCUCUAGUAGCGAAGCUAACGCGUUAAGCAUCCCGCCUGUGGAGUACGGUCGCAAGACUAAAACAUAAAGGAAUUGACGGGGACCCGCACAAGCGGUGGAGUGUGUUGUUUAAUUCGAUGGUAAACGAAGAACCUUACCCAGGCUUGACAUCCUUGGAAUUUUGCCGAAAGGCGAGAGUGCUUUAUUGAGCCAAGUGACAGGUGUUGCAUGGCCGUCGUCAGCUCGUGUCGUGAGAUGUUAGGUUAAGUCCUUCAACGAGCGCAACCCUUGUGAUUAGUUGAAUUUUUCUAAUCAGACUGCCCUGGCAACAGGGAGGAAGGAGGGGAUGAUGUCAGGUCAGUAUUACCCUUACGUCUGGGGCUACAAACACGCUACAAUGGCCGGUACAAAGGGCAGCCAAGUCGCGAGACGGAGCAAAUCCCAUCAAAGCCGGUCUCAGUUCGGAUAGCAGGCUGAAACUCGCCUGCUUGAAGUCGGAAUCGCUAGUAACGGUAGGUCAGCUAUACUACCGUGAAUACGUUCCCGGGUCUUGUACACACCGCCCGUCAAACCAUGAAAGUCGCCAAUACCUGACGUGUGAGCUUUGCCUCGCCCUAAGGUAGGGGAGAUGAUUGGGGUUAAGUCGUAACAAGGUAUCCGUACGGGAACGUGCGGAUG
rnacentral:rRNA from 1 species